rnacentral:rRNA from 1 species
AGCGAACGCUGGCGGCAUGCCUAACACAUGCAAGUCGAACGAGAUCUUCGGGUCUAGUGGCGCGCGGGUGCGUAACGCGUGGGAAUCUGCCCUUUGGUUCGGAAUAACAGUUGGAAACGACUGCUAAUACCGGAUGAUGACGAAAGUCCAAAGAUUUAUCGCCAGAGGAUGAGCCCGCGUAGGAUUAGCUAGUUGGUGUGGUAAAGGCGCACCAAGGCGACGAUCCUUAGCUGGUCUGAGAGGAUGAUCAGCCACACUGGGACUGAGACACGGCCCAGACUCCUACGGGAGGCAGCAGUGGGGAAUAUUGGACAAUGGGCGAAAGCCUGAUCCAGCAAUGCCGCGUGAGUGAUGAAGGCCUUAGGGUUGUAAAGCUCUUUUACCCGGGAUGAUAAUGACAGUACCGGGAGAAUAAGCUCCGGCUAACUCCGUGCCAGCAGCCGCCGUAA